UCCAGCCGCGGCCGCCGCCCCCACGUCCCACCGCGGCCACUGCCCUGCCCCCUCAAGCGUCCUCAAGUGCGGCAAGGGCCUCAAGCUGCAGAAGCGCCUGGCCUCGAGCGUCCUCAAGUGCGGCAAGGGCAAGGUCUGGCUCGACCCCAAUGAGGUUAACCCACCCCCUUCCUCUCUCUCCCUCGUCGCGCGUCUCGAUUUUCUCGCGUAUUCCGUAGAUCUGUGGGCAGGUGGUGCUCCACGCGGUUUAGGUGAUUCGAGGCGGGUAGAUCCCUGCUUGCUUGUGCGGCGCUUGCUCAUAGAUCACAUGAGCAGCCUCGGGUUGCUUUGGUGGCGGUUUAUUUCUUGCGCUUGUGACGAUGCAAUUCGACCCUGAUUCCUGGCCUUGCGCUGUUCCUGGUGCCCGAUGCUGCUGUUCCUGAUGCCCGCUGCUGCUGCUGCUUUCAUGGCGGUUUAUUUCUUUGAUAUCAGGAAGGAAUUCAGGAUGAACAGGAUGCCGCCAUCCCUUCUUGUUGAUGCUUUGUUCAUCACAUCAGGAUUCCUGUUGUCGCAUGGAUUCGAUUGGUGUCUAUGGAUGUCUCUUUCUGCAUGUGUGCACAUGUCCCAGUGGAUUUUGCAGCUGUGCACCAACUUAUUUUUGGCGACCAAACACCAUUGUUUGUAAAUUAAUUCACCGUUACUGUUGCUGAUUUGAUCCAAAUUAGAGUGAGUCCUGAAAUCUGUUGUUCUAGGAGUUGAGUCCUAUUUGGCGUGCAUUCCUAACUAUAGAAAUCUGUUGUCCCCAAAUAUGUUGUUCGAGGAUGUAGAGCGCCGGGAGAGCGGCACCGACGAGGAACCUGCCCACGAUGUGUGCGGCAAGGAGGAGGUGCUCGGGGCCGAGGAAGACGGGCGCGGACGGGUUGGGCUUCCCGGGGCGUUGCGGGAAGACGAGCGUAGCCAGGAGGAGUAGGUAGGGAAAGGAUGGCGGCUCGCCGGCAGGUCAUCGGCGCCUCCUUGAACCAAUGCCAAGGAGGUCUAUGUCGCAGGUUUGAAGGCGCCUGACAAGCCCAUCGUCGCGCCGCCGACCUGCUGACAUUCGAGGUCGGCACCCGUGCGAACUCAGAAAUGUACAAAGGACUGACAUGUGUCAUCUAUAGCAUGUCCCCUUUGUCUGAAUGUUCAACUAGAAGAGUUUCAUCUCAUUUGGCAAGGAGCAUUGCAAUAAUACAUGCAACUCUUCACAGCUACUAACAUGAAGUUGCACUCAGGCUCUCGCAUGGACUAAAGAGUUAUUGUCGUUGUCCCGUGACACGGAUCACUUGUUCCUGGAACUUCCCUGGCUGAAGGAGAAACUGGAGAAGUACAUUGACGAGGCCUCGGCGACUGGAUCAUGGAGCCCAAACGUGCUUCGCACCACCACGGAUGCUUGAUUGAAAGAAGGGUUGGAGCCUCGCUGCAUCACCAGGGAUUUGAAAUGGGACGUCCCUGUCCCACACGAGAAGUACAAGGAUAAGGUUUGCCAUCUGAGCACACAGAGAUUCAUUGUGAAAAUUUAUCUCUCUCCAUGUUGUAUUAAUGUUUGUCCAUGUGAUGAACCGUUCCCAAUUAGCUUGGCCAUCUGCAUUAGUCAUGAUUUGCUACUGAUUCUUUUUGGUUUAUUAUGUAUCUUUGACUAUCGAACUCCAUGGACAUGUUUUUAUUUUCCUGUUGUCUUGAGAGCACACAUA